rnacentral:rRNA from 1 species
GUGAGGAAUAUUCGGCAAUGGGGGCAACCCUGACCGAGCAACGCCGCGUGGAGGAUGACGGUUUUCGGAUUGUAAACUCCUUUUCUCAGGGAAGAGCGAGGACGGUACCUGGGGAAUAAGUCACGGCUAACUACGUGCCAGCAGCCGCGGUAAUACGUAGGUGGCAAGCGUUAUCCGGAAUUACUGGGCGUAAAGCGCACGCAGGUGGCUGCUUAAGUCUGACGUGAAAGCUCCUGGCUUAACUGGGAGAGGUCGUUGGAGACUGGGCGGCUUGAGGCGAGGAGAGGGGUGUAGAAUUCCCGGUGUAGUGGUGGAAUGCGUAGAGAUCGGGAGGAAUACCAGUGGCGAAAGCGGCACCCUGGCCUUGGCCUGACGCUCAGGUGCGAAAGCGUGGGGAGCGAACGGGAUUAGAAACCCUAGUAGUCC